rnacentral:rRNA from 1 species
UGGCUCAGAUUGGACGCUGGCGGCAGGCCUAACACAUGCAAGUCGAACGGUAACAGGAAGAAGCUUGCUUCUUUGCUGACGAGUGGCGGACGGGUGAGUAAUGUCUGGGAAACUGCCUGAUGGAGGGGGAUAACUACUGGAAACGGUAGCUAAUACCGCAUAACGUCGCAAGACCAAAGAGGGGGACCUUCGGGCCUCUUGCCAUCGGAUGUGCCCAGAUGGGAUUAGCUUGUUGGUGGGGUAACGGCUCACCAAGGCGACGAUCCCUAGCUGGUCUGAGAGGAUGACCAGCCACACUGGAACUGAGACACGGUCCAGACUCCUACGGGAGGCAGCAGUGGGGAAUAUUGCACAAUGGGCGCAAGCCUGAUGCAGCCAUGCCGCGUGUAUGAAGAAGGCCUUCGGGUUGUAAAGUACUUUCAGCGGGGAGGAAGGGAGUAAAGUUAAUACCUUUGCUCAUUGACGUUACCCGCAGAAGAAGCACCGGCUAACUCCGUGCCAGCAGCCGCGGUAAUACGGAGGGUGCAAGCGUUAAUCGGAAUUACUGGGCGUAAAGCGCACGCAGGCGGUUUGUUAAGUCAGAUGUGAAAUCCCCGGGCUCAACCUGGGAACUGCAUCUGAUACUGGCAAGCUUGAGUCUCGUAGAGGGGGGUAGAAUUCCAGGUGUAGCGGUGAAAUGCGUAGAGAUCUGGAGGAAUACCGGUGGCGAAGGCGGCCCCCUGGACGAAGACUGACGCUCAGGUGCGAAAGCGUGGGGAGCAAACAGGAUUAGAUACCCUGGUAGUCCACGCCGUAAACGAUGUCGACUUGGAGGUUGUGCCCUUGAGGCGUGGCUUCCGGAGCUAACGCGUUAAGUCGACCGCCUUGGGGAGUACGGCCGCAAGGUUAAAACUCAAAUGAAUUGACGGGGGCCCGCACAAGCGGUGGAGCAUGUGGUUUAAUUCGAUGCAACGCGAAGAACCUUACCUGGUCUUGACAUCCACGGAAGUUUUCAGAGAUGAGAAUGUGCCUUCGGGAACCGUGAGACAGGUGCUGCAUGGCUAUCGUCAGCUCGUGUUGUGAAAUGUUGGGUUAAGUCCCGCAACGAGCGCAACCCUUAUCCUUUGUUGCCAGCGGUCCGGCCGGGAACUCAAAGGAGACUGCCAGUGAUAAACUGGAGGAAGGUGGGGAUGACGUCAAGUCAUCAUGGCCCUUACGACCAGGGCUACACACGUGCUACAAUGGCGCAUACAAAGAGAAGCGACCUCGCGAGAGCAAGCGGACCUCAUAAAGUGCGUCGUAGUCCGGAUUGGAGUCUGCAACUCGACUCCAUGAAGUCGGAAUCGCUAGUAAUCGUGGAUCAGAAUGCCACGGUGAAAAGGUUCCCGGGCCUUGCACACACCGCCCGUCA